AUUGAACGCUGGCGGCAGGCCUAACACAUGCAAGUCGAGCGGUAGAGAGAAGCUUGCUUCUCUUGAGAGCGGCGGACGGGUGAGUAAUGCCUAGGAAUCUGCCUGGUAGUGGGGGAUAACGUUCGGAAACGGACGCUAAUACCGCAUACGUCCUACGGGAGAAAGCAGGGGACCUUCGGGCCUUGCGCUAUCAGAUGAGCCUAGGUCGGAUUAGCUAGUUGGUGGGGUAAUGGCUCACCAAGGCGACGAUCCGUAACUGGUCUGAGAGGAUGAUCAGUCACACUGGAACUGGGACACGGUCCAGACUCCUACGGGAGGCAGCAGUGGGGAAUAUUGGACAAUGGGCGAAAGCCUGAUCCAGCCAUGCCGCGUGUGUGAAGAAGGUCUUCGGAUUGUAAAGCACUUUAAGUUGGGAGGAAGGGCAGUAAAUUAAUACUUUGCUGUUUUGACGUUACCGACAGAAUAAGCACCGGCUAACUCUGUG
rnacentral:rRNA from 1 species